UACGUAGGGUGCAAGCGUUGUCCGGAAUUAUUGGGCGUAAAGAGCUCGUAGGCGGUCUGUCGCGUCUGCUGUGAAACUCAGGGCUUAACCCUGAGCUUGCAGUGGGUACGGGCAGACUAGAGUGCGGUAGGGGAGACUGGAAUUCCUGGUGUAGCGGUGAAAUGCGCAGAUAUCAGGAGGAACACCGGUGGCGAAGGCGGGUCUCUGGGCCGUAACUGACGCUGGAGGAGCGAAAGCCAUGGGGAGCGAACAGG
rnacentral:rRNA from 1 species